rnacentral:tRNA from 1 species
CCCAUGUAGCUUAAACCCACCCAAAGCAAGGUACNGAAAAUACCUAGAUGGAUCACGCACCCCAUGGACA